ensembl:lncRNA
CAUUAGAGAAGCCAACCAGCUGCGUCACACUCUGUCAUUAACGAGGACACUGUUGCUCCAGAAACGCCUCUCGGCCUCGACGCGAUCAACAGGUGCAGCAAGUCCCAGAUGCUUAAGACGGCACAACCGCUACCAAUUCCCCGGGCCUUGAUGUGAACUCCGGUCCUGCUUCCAGGACGGAAUCAUUUUCUUGUCGAUGGGAGUUGUUACAAGGGUCGGGCCCUCAACUCGACUGAUGAGGAGCGGCUGCAGCUGCAGGGACCAGUGGGAGACUGAGACGCGCUAACAACCACAACCAUCAUGAUGAUGAUGAUGAUGAUGAUGGUGCGCCACCCGGAGCUGCUGUUCCGGGGAGACGCUGCCUCCUGUCAAACAGCCGAAGGACCCCCGCUCACCUGCAGUGGGAUCUUGUGUGUGUGGGUG